rnacentral:rRNA from 1 species
AUCUACAACCAUGCUACCCUGAACAAGCCAGACUCCUGAGCUCGGAAGCUAAGCAGGGUUGGGCCUGCUUAGUACUUGGAUGGGAGACCACCUGGGAAGACCAGGUGCUGUAGGCA